CAGUCGCCGCGGGAAUACGGAGGGUGCAAGCGUUAUCCGGAUUUAUUGGGUUUAAAGGGUCCGUAGGCGGACUUAUAAGUCAGUGGUGAAAGCCUGUCGCUUAACGAUAGAACUGCCAUUGAUACUGUAAGUCUUGAGUAUAUUUGAGGUAGCUGGAAUAAGUAGUGUAGCGGUGAAAUGCAUAGAUAUUACUUAGAACACCAAUUGCGAAGGCAGGUUACCAAGAUAUAACUGACGCUGAGGGACGAAAGCGUGGGUAGCGAACAGGAUUAGAUACCCCUGUAGUCCCUGUUCUCUUAUU
rnacentral:rRNA from 1 species